AAUACACUCCUAAUCCUAGCAAUGCUUACUUUUAUGGAUAUCUGUGCUAAUUGUAGAGCUAAUACACGCAGAAAAGCCCAAGAUUCUUGGGUGCAUUUAUUAGAACAAAACCAAUCGGGCUUGCCCGUCUGUUGGUGAAUCUGAAUAACUGUGCAGAUCGCAUGGUCCAGUACCGGCGACACAUUGCAGGAGUGAGUGCCUUAUCAACUUUAGAUGGUAGUUUAUGUGCCUACCAUGGUUAUCACGGGUAACGGAGAAUUAGGGUUCGACUCCGGAGAGGGAGCCUUAAAAACGGCUACCACAUCCAAGGAAGGCAGCAGGCGCGCAAAUUACACAAUGACAGCAAAUUGUUGAUGUAGUGACAAGAAAUAACGAGAUGGUUCUCUAUGAGGUCCGUCAUCGGAAUGGGUACAACUUAAACCUUUUAACGAGGAUCAAUUGGAGGGCAAGUCUGGUGCCAGCAGCCGCGGUAAUUCCAGCUCCAAUAGCGUAUAUUAAAGUUGUUGCGGUUAAAAAGCUCGUAGUUGGAUCUGCGACCUUAGAGAGCGGUCCCCCACAGGGUGCGUACUGCUGCUCAGGGUCUUAUUGGCCAGUUUGCCUGUGGUGCCUUUAAACGGGUGCUGCAGGUAGCUGGCGUGUUUACUUUGAAAAAAUUAGAGUGCUCAAAGCAGGCGCUAUCGCCUGAAUAGUGGUGCAUGGAAUAAUGGAAUAGGAUCUCGGUUCUAUUUUGUUGGUUUUCGGAGCGCGAGAUAAUGAUUAAGAGGGACAGACGGGGGCAUUUGUAUUGCUGC
rnacentral:rRNA from 1 species